CUGUGGUAUCCCUGUAUUUAGCAAUGUUAUGGUGUCAUGUAGCCAUGUAUGCACUCUAGUACAGCAGCAUCACACCAGAUCUGACAAGACUCUCUUUACUGCAAUGCAGCAACACCUCCUCUCCAGCCUAUCAGUGUGUGGAGUGUCCAAAUGAUAUAACUAACUAGAAGCUGGGCCUCCCUCCAUGAAACCUGCCAACACUUUCUGGUGCCCUCUCAGAAAACCCCCUUCCCUCCCUGGGCAGAAAAAGAACAAAAUGAGGAUGGAAUUUUCCCAGACAAUGGAACAGCGGAACGUCAGCUAAGUGCGUCCAUGGAUGUGUUUAACCAGGCUGCUGCUGGCCGUGUCGGCUCCAAGGAGGAGGAUAUUUGUGUACUGCUUGUUGCUGGUCAGAUGCCUACUCUGUGAGAGCCGAGGACAUGAAACCUUUGUCACGAGACAAGCUAAUUUUGGGAGAUCGGCUUCUGACCAAUGUGUGAGCCUGCCUAACUGCUAGCUGAGGCGGAGGUAGGUGAAAAACUCAAUUUGCAGCCUCUCCAAUUUGCCUCCGAUGGAAAGAAAAAUCCUUCCGACUCCAAGAUGGCAGUCGGACCGGUCCCUGGAUCAACUUUAUUUUCAAUAACCCUGUAUUCCCUCACUUGCUAAAAAGCCAUCCAACCCAUUUUUGAAGCUAUCUAAUGUAUGGUAUAUAUAGUAUCAAGGUGUAACAAAAAUACUGUGAGUCCCUGCAUUCGCUAUGAUUGAGUAAUUGUUGGAUGUUGUCGGUACUUGCUUCUGCUGGUAGUUGUAACCAUAUCAACAUUUGUCCUGUCCAUUCUUUUUUUAUAGAACAGCUGUACAAAAUGUCAAAAUAAAAUGUUCUUUGCAAGGCCA